AUUGAACGCUGGCGGCAUGCUUUACACAUGCAAGUCGAACGGCAGCACGGGCUUCGGCCUGGUGGCGAGUGGCGAACGGGUGAGUAAUAUAUCGGAACGUACCCAGCAGUGGGGGAUAACGUAGCGAAAGUUACGCUAAUACCGCAUACGAUCUAUGGAUGAAAGCAGGGGACCGCAAGGCCUUGUGCUCCUGGAGCGGCCGAUAUCUGAUUAGCUAGUUGGUGAGGUAAAGGCUCACCAAGGCGACGAUCAGUAGCUGGUCUGAGAGGACGACCAGCCACACUGGAACUGAGACACGGUCCAGACUCCUACGGGAGGCAGCAGUGGGGAAUUUUGGACAAUGGGCGCAAGCCUGAUCCAGCAAUGCCGCGUGAGUGAAGAAGGCCUUCGGGUUGUAAAGCUCUUUUGUCAGGGAAGAAACGGUAGAGGCUAGUAUCCUUUGCUAAUGACGGUACCUGAAGAAUAAGCACCGGCUAACUACGUG
rnacentral:rRNA from 1 species